rnacentral:rRNA from 1 species
UACGUAGGGCGCAAGCGUUGUCCGGAAUUAUUGGGCGUAAAGAGCUCGUAGGCGGUUUGUCGCGUCUGCUGUGAAAACCUAAGGCUCAACCUUGGGCUUGCAGUGGGUACGGGCAGACUAGAGUGCGGUAGGGGUGACUGGAAUUCCUGGUGUAGCAGUGGAAUGCGCAGAUAUCGUAAGGAAGGCCGGUGGCGAAAGCGAGCCUCUGGACAGUUACUGACGCUGAUGCACGAAGGCCAGGGGAGCAAACGGG